CUUUUUUCACUGUUAUUCAUGGCCAGACAUGCAAGAAAACCUGAUACGACUGACUAGUCUUGUUCAACUUUGUAAAUUGCCCAGCAAAUAUUGCUGGUUGACCUGUCUCUCUCAUUGGUUCUAUAAAGUCUUCACAGUGAGGUAAACUAUCUAUUUCGUGAUUUGGUGCAUUGACUUUGUUGCCCUGAGAAUCUAACUAUUUAUAAGCUUUAAUAUUCAGAAGCGUACUUCAUUUUCACUGCAAUUAUGCCGAGUUUGUUUGUGGGUUUUCUUUGUUUUUGUGUUUGAAGCUGAAGUUCAAAAUUUUGUAACAGAAUUGUUACCUCUUCUCUUGCUUUGCUCUUUGAGGGAAAAUCCAAUUCUGAGCUAUGCUUGCUCGCUCUUUCUUUUAUUAGUUAAGGAAACAUCGUGGGGUUGAGUUUUUUGAGUCACUAGUAGUUAUCAAGGAAGUGGGAAGUGGGUUUUGAUGAAUAAGAAUUUUAGUCACUGAGAUUCUCUGUGGGGUGUUAACCUUCAUCAACAUGUGCUGCUUUUAAAUAUUGCUGCCUCUUUACUUUGCUUCUCUACUCCGGCGCUGUAAGGAGGCUACUUUGGCUACCUGACUUCUGCUUGUAAUUCAAGGUGCUCUAAAGAUACUGUUAGAAUUGCGUAUGUUGUCAAGGCAAGUUUAUCGGCGGGAAAUUUUGGGGUUUAUUAGAAUUGGCCAUUUUCCUUAUUGGGAUUAACUGGUGGUUCAACUGAUUCCUUAGCAGCAAGGGAAGGAGCUUUUUAUAUCUGUUGUGGUUUCAGUAUCACUAGAUCCAGCAUACUCCUUUUGGAUGGGAACCGAUGCUGCUGAAGUAGUGGAGACACUGCCGUUUCCUUAUUCCUUCAAGGUGCAUCACUCCAUGUGUACAGAGUUGAUGAAGUUGGUCGAUAGAGUUUCAAAAAAAUUUCCAGAAAUUGAAGCAGCUAGACCUCGGUGCUCGUCAGGAAUACAGGCACUAUGCUUGUUAAACAAAGCACUUGAGAAAGCCAGGAAACAUCUUCAGUACUGUUGCGACUCUAGCAAACUAUAUUUGGCAAUAACGGGGGAUGCUAUUGUCUCAAAAUGUCAAAGAUUAAGGAACUUGCUGGAACAAAGUUUAGCCCAAUUACAAACAAUGGUUCCAAUAAUGUUGGCUGCCGAGAUAUCUCAAAUUAUUGAUGAUCUUCAGGCAGCAAUGUUUAUGCCAGAUUCCUCUGUAGAAGAGGCUGGUAAAGCCAUGCGUGAAUUGCUCCAGCAGGACAAUUUAGGAUCUCAGUAUAUGGUGAAUUCUGAAAUCAAGGCUAUUCAACUUGCAGCUUCAAGACUGCAUUUUACAUCUCGAAAGGCCAUACUGAUAGAGAAAAGAUCUAUUAAGAAGCAGCUAGAUAAGGAUGGUGGCAAUAAACCCACAAAAAAGAGUAUCUUAAAUUACCUUAUGUUUCUAUUGAAGAAGCAUGGAAACUUACUCAUUGAAGAGCAAACAGAGAUUCCCAAAGCUCAGCAUGAAGGAUUAUUUUCACAGAAGAACCCCAGUGAUACUUCUUUCCAUCGACAAUACAAUCAAGUAGAGUCUUGUGUAGGAUGUGAGCAGUAUGAGACUCAAACUGACAUGUUUAGUAGAGCUACACCCCCUGAAGAGUUCAAGUGUCCUAUAUCUAUGAGAGUGAUGUACGAUCCUGUUGUUAUUGCUUCUGGACAAACAUUUGAAAGGAUGUGGAUACAGAAGUGGUUUGAUGAGGGUAAUGAUACAUGCCCAAAAACCAAAGUGAAAUUAGCUCAUUGUGCAUCGACUCCAAACACAACCAUUAAAGACCUAAUAUCAAAGUGGUGUGUGAAGUAUGGAGUCGCUAUUCAUGACCCAAGCAUUCGAGCAUUGAGGUUAUUGGACAUUUCUAUUAAUUCGAUCGCUAGUUUAAGCAGUUCCAUGAAUGAUCUAAACCUUCCACUGGACAUUAGCAAUAUAUCCCUGGGGUCUUUAGAUGCUAGUUACAGUUCAGAUGCUUCACAAUCUAAGGUUGCAAAUGGGUCAAAUUUGUUUUUGGUACAGGACAAUGAUUAUUCAUAUGAAUGCCAUUCUUAUACAAAUAAGAAUCAGCAAGACUUGAAGUUUCUGUCUGGACUUGCUGAGCUUCCCUGGGAUUCUCAAUGCAAGAUGGUUGAAGAUGUCAAGGGCUGUUUGCAGUGUAAUGAUCAAGUUUGUCCUUCUCAAUCAUCUGAGAAUUUUGUCGAACCUCUAUUUAGAUUCCUGAGAGAUGCACGUGAACAACAAGAUAUAGGAGCUCAGAGAGUUGGAUUUCACUUGUUGCUUUCAUUUGUCAGCAAAAACAGAAGUGGAAUAUCGUACUUGCAUGAAGAGGCCUUUAAUCUGUUGUCAUCAUUCCUUGAUUCCGAAGUAAUUGAAGAGGCUCUUGCCAUAUUUGAAGUGCUGUCUGGCUACCCAUAUUGCAGAUCUAAAAUCACUGCAUGUGGUGUUCUUGUUUCUAUCCGAAAGAUGCUUGACUCCCAUAACAAAGAAUUCCAAGAACUAGCCAUUAAAAUUCUACAUAAUUUGUCCUCAAACGAUGAUAUUUGUUCCCAAAUUGCAUCUAUGGAUUGCAUCCCAAAAUUGGUUCCUUUGAUGAAGGAUCAGAAUCUUUCAAGAUAUUCUAUAGUUCUAUUAAGAAAUUUGUGUGAUCUUGAAGUGGCUAGGGUUUCUGUUGCUGAGACAGAUGGAUGUAUUGCUUCUAUUGCUGAGCUACUUGAGAGUGGUAGUUGGGAGGAACAAGAGCAUGCAGUGGCCAUUCUGCUUUUGUUAUGCUCUCAGCGUCUUCAAUAUUGCCAGCUGGUGAUGGAUGAAGGUGUUAUCCCUUCCCUUGUUGAUAUAUCUAUCAAUGGAACUGACAAAGGGAGAGCAAGUGCAUUGGAAUUGCUUCGGCAGUUAAGAGACAUUGAAUAUGAUAAUGAUCAAGAAAGCUUUUGCUCUGAUCUUGUUACUGAUAGAAAUGCUGACCACCAAACAAGAGAAAAGAAAUCAUCUCCCAAGACAUCUGGAUUUUUCAAGAAUUUAUCAGUGUUCUCUGUACGCAGUUCUGUUGCAUCAAAAAAGAAGAGAUGACACUUCAAACCACUCCUUUUUCUGAUCUUUUGGGACUCAGAAUCCUUUUUAAUGUCAAAUAGAGAAUUAACCUUGGCAGUUUUCUGUUUCUCAUACCUUGUGGCACUACUCUUCUUGUCUGGAAUGGAAUUGCAAUAGCAUCAAACUGAAGAUAUUUUAUGUUUAAUUGCAUAAAAUGUUCUUUUUAUGAGAUUAUUUCUAUGUUCUGGGAACUGGUUGAAUGGCAACCAUUGAUAGCUCUGUUGCUGUCUUUGUUAUUCAAAGGCAAUCAAAGCUGAGGUCAGUAGUAAAUUAGUAACGGACUUUGCAAAUAUUAUUUUUUCAUUUGCAUGCUGAAUUGAGGAAUUUAGAAAGCUUGGUUGCCAAGUGUCAAUCUCUGACAGGAAAGAUUAAUGAGGUUGCCGCCGUGUCUUGCUGAUGGCAGUGCCUCAGGGAUGGAGGUUUUUUCUUUGGUCUGAUGUAAUUAAAUGCUGGAAGUUAAGCAGUUAAAGGGAGAGGAGGUGAUUACAUGGAGUGUGAUAGAUCUUAAACUUGAACCUGGGACUGGAGCUCAGGCGUGAAUUUGAUCUGAACAUUUGAUAAAUGAGCAGCUUUGAUGGCCGAAGCUGUUGGAGACGCAAGCAUAUGAAGGCGGGUGGGGAUUCUCCAAGGAUCCAACACUUUGCCGACCCUUGGUCUCCAAACCCCCAUCACUUACCUUGAUACCCAUCAUUUUAAAGAUGCCUCAGUUAUAUUUAUCUCAAUAAUAUGAAUUAUAUAUAGAGGCUUUAGAUCUCAAUGCUAUGUCUUUCUCAUCUUGUCUCGUGAGAUUUCUAUUGUAAUGAUUUUGUUUAUCACCACCUUGUUUUAAAUAUUUUCCUCUUAGCCAAUAGGAAAGCUUUAAGACAAUGGUCAA